GGCAUUAAAAAUGGCGUCAAGCAGUAUGGCAGCAAUCAGCAAAGAUUGAAGGCAGGGCUCGGCGUCGAAAUUGGCGUCAGGCAGUAUGGCAGCAAUUACGUGGUUGGGGCAGGUAAAUAAGAAGGACCCCCCAAAAAUAUCAAUCAAAGAUAUUUUGUGGCGUAGAAUUAUCAACCUUCGUUAAAGUUGAUUGGGCAGAAACGCAGGACGAAGGAAUCUCUAAAUAAAGGAAGGAAUACCUGAUUUAAAGACACUUACAAAGGAACCACGUGCUACUUACGUGAUGUCAUGGGAAAACUCAAAAAUCACAAAAUCAGAUAAACCACGCCCGUCAGCAAAAGGAAAACUACAUCGGUAGAUGCAGUGCGAAAAAUAAGCAAAAUUAGAACGACUUGUCAGAUCUUCGGUCGCACGCCAAAAAGAAAGAUGGAUGGGCAUCAAGGUUCACCUUGGUGCUUGGUGACCUC